AUUGAACGCUGGCGGCAGGCCUAACACAUGCAAGUCGAGCGGGGUUUUCGGACCUAGCGGCGGACGGGUGAGUAAUGCGUAGGAAGCUGCCCGAUAGAGGGGGAUACCAGUUGGAAACGACUGUUAAUACCGCAUAAUGUCUACGGACCAAAGUGUGGGACCUUCGGGCCACAUGCUACCGGAUGCGCCUACGUGGGAUU
rnacentral:rRNA from 1 species